UGAAUUGUAAGAUGUGCAAUAAAACUAAGUUUGGGUGGAAAUCUUGAAAGAGAAGGCAAGUGCAUAAUAAGAGUUCAUACAAAAAGAAAAAUAGUAUGUAUGUUCUUUAAAAGAAAAAAAAAAGAGAAAAAAAAGAAAAGAAAAACAAAAGAGAAAAAUGCACUUGCCGAGACUUAAGACUCUAACACAUAUAAAAUGCUCGAAAAACUUGAGUAGGAAAAGAGUCAAAAGAGUGAAAUUAACCCCCAGAGUAUACGUGAUGCACGAGAAAAAGAGAAAGAAAAAUCACACAACAUGAAUACCGAGUUCAAAACCCUUUGUUAUCCAUUUUUUUUGUUUAUCCCACCGUACCCAAGCCCCGUUACAACCCAAAAAGACCUCGAAAAGUGUGUGGAAUCUACUGUGGUAGUGACAUUAGAAUGUAUUCAAAGUUAAGAGUUUGGUAUUGCAUACUGUGUUGUGAGUGUACACACCUAACCCUGAGAGAUAUUGUGAGUGUGUGAAAAGCUUGCAGGUGAAGAGGUUUCUGAUGUGGAAAUAUGGUAAACUGCCUGAAUCGGAGAGACCUGAAACUCGAUUGGAAAGGAAG
rnacentral:lncRNA from 1 species